GACGAACGCUGGCGGCGUGCCUAAUACAUGCAAGUCGAGCGCAGGAAACUGACGGAACUCUUCGGAGGGAAGGCAGCGGAAUGAGCGGCGGACGGGUGAGUAACACGUAAGGAACCUGCCUCAAGGAUUGGGAUAACUCCGAGAAAUCGGAGCUAAUACCGGAUAGUUCAACGGACCGCAUGGUCCGCUGAUGAAAGGCGCUUCGGCGUCACCUUGAGAGGGCCUUGCGGUGCAUUAGCUAGUUGGUGGGGUAACGGCCCACCAAGGCGACGAUGCAUAGCCGACCUGAGAGGGUGAUCGGCCACACUGGGACUGAGACACGGCCCAGACUCCUACGGGAGGCAGCAGUAGGGAAUCUUCCACAAUGGACGAAAGUCUGAUGGAGCAACGCCGCGUGAGUGAUGAAGGUUUUCGGAUCGUAAAACUCUGUUGUAAGGGAAGAACACGUACGAGAGGAAAUGCUCGUACCUUGACGGUACCUUACGAGAAAGCCACGGCUAACUACGUGCCAGCAGCCGCCGUAA
rnacentral:rRNA from 1 species